UUCUUUGGAGCUUGCUUUAAAGGGUCUUAGUGGCGAUUUGGUGAGUAACACGUGAGUUACCUGCCCCGAAGUGGGAGAUAGCCCGGAGAAAUUCGGAUUAAUACCCCAUGUGAUCGUAAGAUUAAAGGCGGCGCAAGCUGUCGCUUCGGGAUGGGCUCGCGGCCUAUCAGCUAGUUGGUGGGGUAAUGGCCCACCAAGGCGAUGACGGGUAGCUGAUCUGAGAGGAUGAUCAGUCACACUGGAACUGAGACACGGUCCAGACACCUACGGGUGGCAGCAGUCGAGAAUCAUUCGCAAUGGGCGAAAGCCUGACGGUGCGCCGCCGCGUGGAGGAUGAAGGCCCUAGGGUCGUAAACUCCUGUCAUCAGGGAGUAAGGGCUUGCGCAGUCACUGGCGCGGGCAUUGAUAGUACCUGAAGAGGCAGGGACGGCAAACUUCGUGCCAGCAGCCGCGGUAAUACGAAGGUCCCAAGCGUUGUUCGGAUUUACUGGGCGUAAAGAGUCUGUAGGCGGCGGGGUAAGUCAGAUGUGAAAUCCCGGGGCUCAACCCCGGAACUGCAUCCGAUACUGCCUUGCUUGA
rnacentral:rRNA from 1 species